ensembl:lncRNA novel transcript, antisense to DUSP1
ACAGUGAGCGCCCACUAAGCGCUGGGCUGGGGGCCUCCAACCCGGAACAGAAGCCGGCCACAACCCUCGCUCCCUGUCGUCGCGGCCGUUAUAGGCCGAAAGCAAAAUCCAAUCCCGGGCCAUUGUGGGCGGAUUGCCAGGACCUGGAUCGCAACACUUGGGAAGACCCCCGCCCCGCCCAGCGAUCUCCGUGCCCUGAGUCCCAGUGACGGCCCCCUGGACAGCGGAGCCUGCUGCAGCGACGCGACGCGCUGGUACAGAUCUCAAAGCAAGGCUUGUUGGACAAAUAAAUGAAGAUGAGCCCAAGAGCCCAGGAGAGGGACCGGGAACAGCAGGGCCUCCGUGACUCACACAAGCUUCAUCCCUGAACCAAGGACGCAGCCUGCCAACAAUGGCCCCAAGCCACACCCCGCCACAGGGGGAACUGAUGCUGCGGUGAGAAGUGACAGCUUUCUGUUGACUCUUUUUUUUUUCAAGCAGAAUAUGAAUUGAGACAUACUUUCAUUUUCAUAAUCAGAACCUAACACUUAGUAACCAAUGUUGGUGGAAGCAAAUGAGAUCACAGUUUGUCUGUUCCAAACUCAUCUCUGGGAAAAGGAGGAGGAAAAAUUAUUGGCACUAUGUUCAGAAUCAUAGCUGAAGAUGCAGAAAUUGUUCAUCCCAAUUUUGCCUUUGUAAGUAAUGUGGGGGCAGUUCUUAUUAGUAAUUGCCAAUCUCUACUGAGACACAGUAUUUUGCUAGGCGCUUUAUAUUCAUUUCCUGGUAUGAUCAUGACAUUAACCCUGUGAAAUGCGUACCCUUACUAUCUCCAUGUGAAGAAAUGAGGGAACUGAGGACCAGAGAGGUGAACUGACUUGUCCAAAGACACACAGUAAGGGCUGUGACUCUCCGCUUUCUAAGAUUUUUGUUCUUAUCGCUCCACAGCACAUAGCAGGCGUAGUAUGAAGGCAGCAUGCUGCACAAUUUCGCUGUUUGUUUCUUGGAAUAAUAAUUUAUAGGGGACUGCUUCUAGAUUCCAAAGGAAAGAGAAAGGAAAUAUGCCCCAAACUCAGGCUUUCAGCCUGGCCCUGCCUGACUCACUGAGCUGCAUUGGACAAAUGAUUCAUUCACUGGCCUUGACCUCAGUGGGUUUGGCCACCCAUUGAGAGUGAAGUCACACCUCCAGCACUGCGAUGCAUUUAUUGAUCCACUCACCUAGCUUCAUGGCAGGCAAGAAACAGGCCUGUGUGAGCCUGCCCAGGAUCAGGGACAGGAGAGCACACAGGUGUUUCUGGAUAUCCUCAAGCUGUAGCUGGGCUGCUCGAUUCUUCCCUAGGAGAUCCUCCGGGGGCCUGAAUUAGUUUGCUAGGGCUUCCGUAACAAAGCGCCACAGACUGAGCGGCUUAAAUAAAAAUGUGUCAUCUCAUGGUUCUGGAGGCUGGAAGUCUGAGAUCAAGGUGCUGGGGAUUAGGACUUGAACAUAUGUUUUUUGGGGGCACACUUCAACCCUCCGGAGGGCCUGUGCCCCAAAGAGAGCCUCCUUCUGUGUGCAGUGAAGGUGUGAGUUCUAAACAUGAGAAAAAAACACCCCUUGUUCUUGGAUAGGGUGACUCGAUACCACAAGCAGGUCCAACUGGCCCAGGUAAAUAUAUUCGUUUAACAUGAUCGUCACCAAAAUAUUGAGGGUAGGUGUUUUUUUCUGGAGUUAAACAAGUUGAUUCUGGAGUUGAUAUGAAAUAAUAAACAAGCAAAAAUA